UACGUAGGGUGCGAGCGUUGUCCGGCAUUAUUGGGCGUAAAGGGCUCGUAGGCGGUUUGUCGCGUCGGGAGUGAAAACCUCGGGCUUAACUCGGGGCUUGCUUUCGAUACGGGCAGACUGGAGGUAUGCAGGGGAGAACGGAAUUCCUGGUGUAGCGGUGAAAUGCGCAGAUAUCAGGAGGAACACCGGUGGCGAAGGCGGUUCUCUGGGCAUGACCUGACGCUGAGGAGCGAAAGUGUGGGGAGCGAACAGG
rnacentral:rRNA from 1 species